GAUGAACGCUAGCGGCAGGCUUAACACAUGCAAGUCGAGGGGUAUAGGUUUUCGGACCUAGAGACCGGCGCACGGGUGCGUAACGCGUAUGCAAUCUAACUUUCACAGAGGGAUAGCCCAGAGAAAUUUGGAUUAAUACCUCAUAGUAUAGCAGUUUCGCAUGAAACCACUAUUAAAGUAUCAACGGUGAAAGAUAAGCAUGCGUCCCAUUAGCUAGAUGGUAAGGUAACGGCUUACCAUGGCUACGAUGGGUAGGGGUCGUGAGAGGGAGAUCCCCCACACUGGUACUGGGACACGGACCAGACUACUACGGGAGGCAGCAGUGAGGAAUAUUGGUCAAUGGACGCAAGUCUGAACCAGCCAUGCCGCGUGCAGGAUGACGGUCCUAUGGAUUGUAAACUGCUUUUGUACGAGAAGAAACAACAUUACGUGUAAUGUCUUGACGGUAUCGUAAGAAUAAGGAUCGGCUAACUCCGUGCCAGCCGCCGCAGUAAAAC
rnacentral:rRNA from 1 species